rfam:Pyronema omphalodes CBS 100304, CBS100304, WGS project CATG01000000 data, contig: Pcon_v1_contig592
GGUUGCAUAGUGUAGUGGUUAUCACGUUCGCCUCACACGCGAAAGGUCGCCAGUUCAAGCCUGGCUGUAAUCA